AUUGAACGCUGGCGGCAUGCCUUACACAUGCAAGUCGAACGGCAGCACGGGGGCAACCCUGGUGGCGAGUGGCGAACGGGUGAGUAAUACAUCGGAACGUGCCCCGUAGCGGGGGACAACCAGUCGAAAGACUGGCUAAUACCGCAUACGCUCCACGGAGGAAAGCAGGGGAUCGCAAGACCUUGCACUAUGGGAGCGGCCGAUGCCCGAUUAGCUAGUUGGUGAGGUAAAAGCUCACCAAGGCAACGAUCGGUAGCUGGUCUGAGAGGACGACCAGCCACACUGGGACUGAGACACGGCCCAGACUCCUACGGGAGGCAGCAGUGGGGAAUUUUGGACAAUGGGCGCAAGCCUGAUCCAGCCAUGCCGCGUGCGGGAAGAAGGCCUGG
rnacentral:rRNA from 1 species